UACGGGGGGGCAAGCGUUGUUCGGAAUUACUGGGCGUAAAGGGCUCGUAGGCGGCCAACUAAGUCAGACGUGAAAUCCCUCGGCUUAACCGGGGAACUGCGUCUGAUACUGGAUGGCUUGGGGUUGGGAGAGGGAUGCGGAAUUCCAGGUGUAGCGGUGAAAUGCGUAGAUAUCUGGAGGAACACCGGUGGCGAAGGCGGCAUCCUGGACCAAUUCUGACGCUGAGUGAGCGGAAAGCCAGGGGAGCAAACGGG
rnacentral:rRNA from 1 species